CACUUCAGUCGUGAGGAAUGUAGUGUAGUUAAUAGCUGCAUUAUUUGACGUUAGCGACAGAAGAAGCACCGGCUAACUCCGUGCCAGCAGCCGCGGUAAUACGGAGGGUGCGAGCGUUAAUCGGAAUUACUGGGCGUAAAGCGCAUGCAGGUGGUUUGUUAAGUCAGAUGUGAAAGACCCGGGGCGUCAACCUCGGAAUAGCAUUUGAAACUGGCAGACUAGAGUACUGUAGAGGGGGGUAGGAAUUUCAGGUGUAGCGGUGAAAUGCGUAGAGAUCUGAAGGAAUACCGGUGGCGAAGGCGGCCCCCUGGACAGAUACUGACACUCAGAUGCGAAAGCGUGGGGAGCAAACAGGAUUAGAUACCCUGGUAG
rnacentral:rRNA from 1 species